UUGCUUUGGCAGCAAGUAUACUAAAAUUGGAAUAAUACAGAGUGGAUUAGUAUGGUCCCUGCACAAGGAUGACAUACAAAUUUGUGAAGCAGUUUUUUUUUUU
rnacentral:snRNA from 1 species